rnacentral:lncRNA from 1 species
UUUUUGCACUGUCAAAUGUUUCGGGGUUUGCAGCUACCACAUUUCCUUGGAUUGGCGAUGUUAGUCCCCAGAUGAAUCGCUCAAUCUUCUUUCCUUCCGAGGUGAUCAUACCCGGGCACAACAGAGACAGUUCACUAAAUCUCGAUAUGUAGGCAUCGAUAUUCGCAUUCUGCACAGUGAGGUUCCACAACUCUUGCUCCAUUUUCUGAAUCUCACCUCGUGGGCAGUAUUCAGUCAUCAACAUUUCUUUCAUUUCCGCCCACGACAUAGAGUUGGCUAUAGGGAGUGUCAUGGCUUCCACAUGUCCGUUUCACCAGGUGAGCGCUUGAUCGACAAAAGUGCAAGCCGCGAACUUCACUUUCAUCUGCUAAGGACAAUCGCAUAUCUCGAAUACCGAUUCCACCUUCUCGAUCCAUCGCUUCAGAGUGAUCACUCCUCCAGUGCCGUUGAAAGUUCGCGGUUUGGCGUUUGUAAAGUCCUUGUAGGUACAUGUUUUAGUAGUUUGUUGAUUCAUCCCGUUGUUCGAACUCCCUGCCCCUUGCCCGUUGCCUCCUCCGUUAUUCCCUUGGUGGAGUUGUGCCAUAGCUGCGGUGACCGCAGCAGACACGGCCGCCUGGAAUGCAGUGGAGUCAACUACGGGUGGGGUUGGUCCAUGGUUUCCGCGAGUAGGUCAGCGAGGCAUCUUUCUGUCAUGAAACGGAAAGAUGUUGAGUGUUUGGGGUUUCUGGAAGGUUGUGACCCUACUUCCUAGGUGCAAUGUACGUACUAAAACAUUCCUACCAUUCAACAUACCAUCAUAGAUUCUCAACACAUAGCAAUUUGUAAUAUCAUAACAAAGCACGUAAAAGUUUACUAAUAUUAUCCGCAUUUGAUAUAUGAAAAAUUUGCUCGUAAGAGCAUACAUGAGUGACACUAGUUCGACAGCAUAACGACUCUAUGAGUAGUGUAGUCACUUAAACAUAGAGUCGGGGGAAAUAGCAUAGUUCCUAACGACCUACUAAGAUAAGUUUAUCCCUAACCGCGACGAUCUGCGUCCUACGUAGUGGCGAGGUCAUAUGCCGAAAUGUUGUGAUAGUAACUAUGCCAUCUCCGUCAUGUCUCCAAUAACCUCAUCCCUCUCAUGCUCAGCUCGCACUGCCCGAGCAUCCAUAGCAUACAGCUGUUGUCGCAGCGCGACGAUCUCAGCUUCGGGGGAAAGGUUCUCCCUUGGGGGGUUCACUGGUGGAGUGGGCUGGUCUGGUUGCGCCUCGUUCUUACACGACGGGAUGUGGUCCUUGUCCCCAUCUUGACCUUCCUCAACGUCGUCGUCAGUCUCUCCAAAUUCGUACUCGGUGUCUAUGUAUUCGUCAGGUCCGACGUCGUGUGCUUCCUCUGGAUUCCCUUCUGGUUCAUCUUCAAGCAUCCCGUGAGCCACUAGGACUUAAUGGAACUGGAUACCCGGCUGAUCUCCCUCCAUGACGACUGGGGGAAAGUAUAAACUAUCGUCACUCCCAUGACUAUGGUAUAUACUAAACAGACGUUCUCUUUUUGGUGAUAAAGGGGUAUAGUUUUUAGGUUCCCUAGCUAUCACGAUCUCAUCAGAAUGUGUGUUAGUUAUACUUUGGAGAGAAUGUAGUUGAUCAGGCUACAUCCACUCCUUGGUACCACUAAGAACAGUCCUGAAUUAACCGAGAUACUAGCAUUAUUUUGUUUGGUUCGACGUUAUGUUCCUUGUUCCUAAUGCAAGAAAAGGUGUUUUAUUGUUGUAUUUUACUUGUUUUGUUCAAAGUUAUGUUAGUCCCUCUUUUGGUUUAUAGUUGCAUAUCAAUGUAUCGUUCGAUAUGCUAGUUCACUGUAAACAGAGCUCUGAUACCAACCUGUCACACCCCGAACCAGACGGCGGAAACGUCCGAGGGCUAUUGUGACUCAAUUGAAUACCAUCACAAUGAAUAUACAUGAAACAUAACAUCAUACAAUACCAAGCAUUGGAGUAUUACAACUGGUUAAGUUUACAUUCAGUACAUAGUUUCAGAACAUUUCAUUCUCAAAAGUGGAUUGUUCAAUACUAGUUAAACAAACAACAAGUCAUCACUGAGUACAUUUUUCCUUCGGUUUACCUGUUACCUGAGAAUACAAGUAUUUUGAAAAACGUCAACAUAUGAAAUGUUGGUGAGUUCAUAAGUAAUGUUUGAAAUAUAGUGGUUUGUAUUGUUUUGAAAAUCACCAGAAAAUCCGAUAUUUUCUGAAAAGAACUUAGUAUAAAAAGUAUGAAGAUCCGUAGGUAUGCUUGUUUAUUUCUAUAAAUGUAAAAGAACGAUUUGUAAAACUCGGUAUGUAACUCGUAGGUAUAUUAAUUGAAAACCCUAGGAAAACCCGAUGCUUUCCUAAUACUUUGCGUCAAAUAAUUUAAAUCUUGUUAUAUCAUUAUGACAGGUGUAUUCGUUGAGUCCUGGUGACGUUGGAUUAAUUGUGGAUUGUGAAUUGUUAUAAACACACAUUAAUGAAAAUGACUAGUUUACAACCAUACAAACGAUCCCUUAGGCGUCGCUCGCACUAUUCACUUAAUCCAAACACCCGGACUUCAUGUAGUCCCACGACCGAGGAGGAAAAGAGGGUGCGAAGCCCAGAUAUUUUCCGUAAGUCGUUGCGAGACUAUCGUCAAUGCAAAGGUCACUUAGCCCGGCUCGCAUUUAGUGAAUUCUCGACUUUGCUAGCAGCACUAGAAGGCCCUUGGGGUCCAACAGCACAAAGCCUGUAAAAGUCCUUUUACACGAAAUUAGGUCAUGUACGACCCAACUACAUGUAAGCGAGUUUCCUUCGGGCCUAAAGAUCAUGCCAUUGGGCUAGCUAGGCCCAACAAACAUGAUUUGAAACUUUUGGGCCCAAAGACGGUGUAUCGACGUCUGGUGUAUUCUCACGUGUGUAUUGACUUCCCGAAAUUUCCGCGUGUGUAUUGAAGUUUCGUCGUGUUAGUAAUUUCGGAUUCAUUAUUGAUUCGAGACCGAAUCAAUUCGUUUGAUAACGAUUUUUGGUGUUGAAGGUGUAUUAUAAUUUGCCGAUAGUCGAGAUGCUAAUAUUUCCUCAUGACGGAUUUAUUAUUUAAAACAUUAGGAUGUGUCUUUAUUUCAGCCCCUUUCUUUUGGAUAAUUUACACAUUUAACCCUUUGUAUAAAAUAAAUUUCUAUUUUAGUCCUCAAACCAUUUUUCUUGACACUUUAGUAUCAAAACUUGUAGAAAAGUUAUUUUUCAGCUCAAAGUUAUUUGAAAAACAGUUUUAGUCCACCAAAUGAAAUUUUUCUCGGCUGAAACCCUUAUGUUCGCAGUUUUUACACUUUUGGCCCAAAAUAGAAAAUUUUUGCAUUUUUGGUCCCUUUUAAAUAUGAAAAGCAUUUUUAACCCUUGAAAUGGACUUGGAGCACUAGUAGUCCCCUGUUUUACAGAAAAUCACAGUUUCAGCCCCUCUAAUUUGAAAAUCUCGCAUAUUGGGCUUUAUUGGGCCGAAAAAUUCAUUUUUGGCCCAUUAUGCUUAAAAAUUUCACAUUUAAUCCUUCAAAGAGAAUAUUUCCAGAAAAAUACCUUAUUGAAACUGUUUUGACUCAUUUCAUCCAUCAGAAUUUGUAUUUUGUCAUUUUGGGCCCUUUAACUUUAUAUUUUCAACAUUUUGAGUCCAAAAAUGGGAUUUUUAGCCCAAUGAGUUCAUAUUAACCAACUUGGUUAUUUUUCUAGAAUUGAUUUGUGUGUAAUAAUAUGUUUAACACUUGUUUCAUACAUCCUAAUGCAAAUCUCGAUUUUAAGGACUUUUUGACUAGUUUCAACACCAUAAUCACAUAAGAACAUGUAAACAAACAUAGAAAUCAUACAAAGCAUACAUAUACUCAUAGAUCUACACAUUUGCUUGUAUUCCCCCCCCCCACAAAACUUAUAAAAACCGAAAAAUAGGGGGUAUGAAGCUCACCUUUGGGUGUGGUUUCGGUUUUGGAGGAAAGAUGGAAGGAAAUGAGAUGAUUUUCGGCCUAAACAACCUUUCCUUGGAAGAUCUCAAAUUUAGAGAGUUUCUAGGAGAGUGAUCAAGAUUUUUACAUAGAUUAGAAGAAGAUUUUGAUAAAAUAAAGUACCAAAAUCAUAGAUCUUAACUUGAUCUUACCUUUAGUAGAGAAUUUGUGGAGAUAAUUUCUUGAAUGCUCCUUAGAUCUCGAAAUUAUUGAAGAAAGAGUGAGGGGAUGUUCUUCAAGACUUAGAGAGGAUGNGGAAUUUUUGUUAGUGUAUCUGUGUGUGUUCGGCCGGGAGUGAGAGAGAGGGAGAAGAAGAGAGACCUUGAAGUGAUGUUUGCAUGGGUACAUGGGAUAAAUUGCAUAGAACACCUUUGAAUAAUUAUGAGGUGGCAACAAAGGUCAACUGUCGCUUUUCUUUGGGCUUGGGCCGAGAUUGGAGAGGGGAGAAGAGAUUUUUGGGCUUUAAUGCCCCUAAGCCCAUAUUAGAGUUAGGUUUGAUGAUUGUUGGCCCUAUAAAAUAUAAGUGUGAUUUUUAUACUUAGUUGGGCUAGUUUAGGUUAAUUAUGGUUCAUAAAAUUUAAUUUAUUUCAUUCUAGGCCCAAUAUGGCCCAAAAUGUUGAAAUAAAUGAAUGUGGGUCCAAUUAGAGCCCAUUUAAAGGUUCUAAGCCCAUGAUAGUCAAAUUGGAAGCUUAUUGGUCUCUUGAGUCCAAUAUGGAAGUUCUAGUCCAAAAUGGACCUAAACAAGAACCUCUAGGGUUUCCAAUUGCUUGUUGACUAUUUGUAGUACUUGUAUGGUGUAUGGGAUUGAAGUUUUGUUUUCAUAGAGUAAGCAUCAUACAUGCUCUUCAGUUUUUGAUUCUACAUUUUACUGGAGUAUAGUGAUUACAAGACACAAAAUUUCUAGUUGUGACAUCAUCCCCCCGUUAGAGGGAAUUUCUUCCCGAAAUUCUGUUUGAAAGCUAGAUUUGAGAAUGCUAAAAUAGGUGUGGGUACUUUUGCUUCAUUUGGUCUUCGCAUUCCCACGUGAAUUCUGGCCCACGCUUUGCGUUCCAUUGUACUUUCACGAUCGGGAUGCGACUUUGCUUAGUACGGUUCACCUCUCUGUCCAUGAUUUCAACCGGUUCUUCAAUGAACAGGAGAUUCUCGUUGAUUUCGAUCUCGUCAAGGGGAAUGACGAGUGUUUCAUCCGAUAGGCACUUCUUUAGAUUAGAGACAUGGAACACGGGGUGUACACUGUUUAGCUCUGCGGGUAGUUGCAGUUUAUACGCCACUGGACCUAUUCGGGCGACGAUCUCGAAAGGUCCAAUGUAUCGUGGGUUCAGUUUUCCCCGUUUUCCGAAACGAAUAACUCCUUUCCAGGGUGAGACAUUCAACAGUACUCGAUCCUCGACCUGAAAUUCUAAGGGCUUUCGUCGUUUAUCGACGUAGCUCUUUUGUCGGUCGCGCGAUGCUUGCAAUCGAGCUCUAAUUUGAAUAAUCUUUUCCGUGGUUUCACGAAUGAUCUCCGGUCCUAUUAGUGCCUUGUCUAAUGUAUGCGUUUUUGCUAGUUGGGUAUCACCCACCUCAGCCCAACACAACGGUGAUCUACACUUACGCCCGUAUAGUGCUUCGAAAGGAGCGACCUUGAUGCUCGAAUGGUAACUGUUGUUAUAUGAGAAUUCUACUAAGGGUAAGUGGGUAUCCCAAGACUUCCCAAAGUCUAUCACACAUGCGCGGAGCAUGUCUUCGAGCGUUUGAAUGGUUCGUUCACUUUGACCAUCCAUCUGUGGAUGAUAAGCGGUGCUCAUGUCGAGAUGAGUUCCCAGUGCCUUCUGGAAAGAUUGCCAAAAACGUGAAGUGAACCUAGUAUCCCUAUCCGAGAUAAUAGACACUGGUACUCCGUGGAGUCUCACAAUUUCUCAAAUGUAUAAACGUGUUAAUCUCUCCAUCUUGUAGGAUUCCUUUAUUGGCAGGAAAUGGGCAGAUUUCGUCAGUCGAUCGACUAUUACCCAUAUGGUGUCCAGUCCAUCCGACGUCUUGGGUAGCUUGGUCAUGAAAUCCAUAGAAAUCCCCUCCCAUUUCCACUCAGGGAUUACCGGUUGCUGUAAUAACCCUGAGGGCUUCUGGUAUUCCACCUUUACCUUGGCACACGUAAGACACUUACUAACAUAGGUGGCAACUUCCGCCUUCAUGUUGGGCCACCAAUAGUGUUGUUUAAUAUCCAAAUACAUCUUGUCUGAGCCGGGAUGAACGGAGUAUCGCGUCUUAUGGGCUUCCUUCAUAACUUCCUCCCUAAAUCCUCCGAGUUUAGGGACCCAAAUACGGUUCAUGAAAUAGUAUACUCCAUUCUCCUUUGCCUCUAGGUUCUUCUCCAUUCCGCGCAAUGCUUCGCUUGCUCUAUUUUCCGUCUUCAUGGCCUCUGACUGGGCUACUGCAAUUUGAGUGGCUAGGUGAGAUUGAAUGGUUAUUGAGAGAGUUUUCGUACNAUCAGAGUACUCCUUCCGACUUAAUGUGUCGGCUACCACGUUGGCCUUGCUUGGGUGGUACUUGAUCUCACACUCAUGAUCGUUUAGUAAUUCAACCCAUCUUCAUUGCCUCAUGUUCAACUCUUUCUGGUUCAAGAUGUGCUGGAGACUCUUGUGGUCGGUGUAGAUGGUGCACUUCGUACCGUAAAGGUAAUGCCUCCAAAUUUUUAGAGCAAAGACCACGGCUCCCAAUUCUAGGUCAUGGGUCGUAUAAUUCACUUCGUGCGUCUUUAGUUGGCGGGAUGCGUAAGCUAUCACCCUUCCACGCUGCAUGAGAACGCAACCUAAGCCCUGAUUUAACGCGUCACAGUAGACCACGAAAUCUUCCGUUCCCUCCGGUAGCAAUAGUACCGGGGCACUACAGAGAGCUUGUUUCAGGGUUCAGAAUGCGACUUCUUGUUUGUCCGUCCAUUUGAAUGGUACGCCCUUUUGUGUAAGCAAGGUAAGUGGCUUGGCAAUCUUAGAGAAGUUCUGAAUGAAUCUCCUAUAGUUGCCUGCUAGACCCAAGAAUUGAUGGAUUUCCGUGGGUGUUGUCGGGAUUGCCCAUCCCUCAACAGCUUUGACCUUAGAGGGAUCCACAUGAAUUCCAUCUUGGCUAACUACAUGACCUAGGAAGUUCACACUCCGGAGCCAGAACUCACACUUGGAGAGUUUUGCGUAUAGCUUUUCCGAUCGCAGAGUUUCUAGGAUUUGUCGGAGAUGUUGGCCAUGCUCUUCUUCGCUUCGGGAAUAGACGAGAAUGUCAUCAAUGAAGACGAUGACAAAGUUGUCGAGGAAUGGUCGACAGAUCCGGUUCAUCAGAUCCAUAAAUGCGGCAGGGGCAUUUGUUAGACCGAAGGGCAUUACGACAAAUUCAUAAUGUCCGUAGCGAGUUCGGAAAGCGGUUUUUGGAAUAUCCUCUUCCCGGACUUUGAGUUGGUGGUAUCCGGACCGUAGAUCUAUCUUAGAAAAAUAACUAGCUCCUUGGAGCUGGUCAAAUAGAUCAUCGAUUCGUGGGAGUGGGUAGCGAUUUUUAACAGUGAGUUUAUUUAACUCUCUGUAAUCGAUGCACAUUCUAAAAGAUCCGUCCUUCUUUUUGACAAAGAGGACUGGAGCUCCCCAUGGCGAGUAACUAGGGCGGAUGAAUCCCUUGUCCAAGAGUUCACUGAGUUGGCUGGAUAAUUCCUGCAUUUCAGCAGGAGCUAGCCGAUAGGGUGAUUUAGCGAGAGGAGUUGCUCCUGGAACGAGGUCAAUUCGGAACUCCACUUGUCUCUCUGGGGGUACUCCUGGAAGAUCUUCAGGAAACACGUCUGGGAACUCACAUGCUAUGGGAAUGUCUUGAACGUUAACCUCUUCCUUGAUUUUAUCCACUAUGUGAGCCAGGAACGCCAAGUUGUUCUUUCGUAGAUGUUUUCGUGCCUUGAUGCACGAGAUGAGGCGAAGGUUCAUGCUAGGUUUGUCUCCGUAAAUUACUAGGGUUUCGUGAUUAGGAAGGCGAAGGCGAACGGCCUUCUCGUGACACAUAAUUUCAGCAUGGUGGGGGCUUAACCAGUCCAUGCCAAUAAUCACAUCGAAACUCCUAAUUGAUACAGGCAUUAAGUCUAUUCGAAAGACGUGUUGAUUUAGGGUUAGGGUACAUCCGAUGUAGAUUUCCCCGGUGGAUUCGGUUUUCCCAUUGGCCAUUUCCACCGUAAAGGUUUCAUUUAGCUUCUGGGGCUGUUGUUUUAAUAAAUGUUUAAACUUAUUGCUUACGAAACUUCGCUCCGCUCCGGUGUCAAAUAGGAUGCAUGCAUAAGUGUGGUUUAGGGGAAACGUACCGGUAACAACAGCGGGGUCCUGAAUCGCCUCUCCCUGACCCAUGGUCAGCAUCCUUCCUGUUCCUCCGUUUCCUGGAUUGUUGUUGUUAGGGCAGUCUCGGCGGAAAUGCCUGGUCCUCCCACACCCAUAACAAGUGUGGCUAGGCCCUGCAUUGUGGCCGCCAGUAGUGAUGUUGUUGUUGUUGCGAUUGUUGUUGUUGUUGCUGUUUCCCUGUUGUUGGUUCUGGGGAGGGUAGGUCCUGCAGUACUUCGCCGUGUGUCCCCUUCGGUUACAACUGGUGCACUGCAACUCCUUGCAUUCUCCAUUGUGAUGGAAACCGCACUUGUUGCACUUGGGAAGAUUACCGGAAUAAGGUCUGGGAGCAUUUGAAGCAGCUGAGGCUGGAGCAUGUGGUGUGGCUGGAACCGGUGCGGUGACAGCAUUAACUGCCACUGUCUGCUGCUUUUUAGAGGUCUCGGGGCCCUGACGCCCCUUCCUCUUGUUGUUCUUCCCUUUCUUGCCAUCACCUUCCUUCUUUCCUUCAGCCUCCGCUGGCUUCUCACCCUUCUUGUUGUUAUGGUCAUACAGCUUCUUCGCCAAUCUUUUUGCACUGUCAAAUGUUUCGGGGUUUGCAGCUAUCACAUUUCCUUGGAUUGGUGAUGUUAGUCCCCAGAUGAAUCGCUCAAUCUUCUUUCCUUCCGAGGUGAUCAUACCCGGGCACAACAGAGACAGUUCACUAAAUCUCGAUAUGUAGGCAUCGAUAUUCGCAUUCUGCACAGUGAGGUUCCACAGCUCUUGCUCCAUUUUCUGAAUCUCACCUCGUGGGCAGUAUUCAGCCAUCAACAUUUCUUUCAUCUCCGCCCACGGCAUAGAGUUGGCUACAGGGAGUGUCAUGGCUUCCACAUGUCCGUUCCACCAGGUGAGUGCUUGAUCGACAAAAGUGCAAGCCGCGAACUU